UGCGAGGGGAGCAAGCGUUGUUCGGAUUUACUGGGCGUAAAGGGCGCGUAGGCGGUCGUGACAAGUCACUUGUGAAAUCUCCGGGCUUAACUCGGAACGGUCAAGUGAUACUGUCGGACUAGAGUACAGAAGGGGCAACUGGAAUUCUCGGUGUAGCGGUGAAAUGCGUAGAUAUCGAGAGGAACACCUGCGGCGAAGGCGGGUUGCUGGGCUGAUACUGACGCUGAUGCGCGAAAGCCAGGGGAGCGAACGGG
rnacentral:rRNA from 1 species